rnacentral:lncRNA from 1 species
GUCCUGUCUGCAUCUUAGAAGAAAAACCGAUUGACGUUGUUCCCUUCUUUUACCCCAAUUUUUCAGAACUCUUAUAUACAAAUUGGGGAGAUCUAAGGGGGAAAUCAGGCGGGAUACAUAAGCUUUUUGUCGAAGAGACGGAAAUCUUGUGCCUAGAAUUGCAACAAUUGUGUUGAAUCUUUCUCCAGGUACCAUACUUAGAAGAGAGCAAUUCUUUUUCUUUCUUCUUCUAUGCCUCUGAAUAUAUGCUUGUUCCCUUUGUGAAUCCCUAAUUGGAUGCUCAUUAACACUAAAACGCUGAUAUUUCGAGGUUCUACAGCAAUCAAGAGAGAGCAAAGAUGAAUUGAAUGGUGACUUUAGGGAAGAAAUUGACGAAAAAUAUUCACGAUCACAGACUUGUUUGAAUUUGAAUUUGAAUUUGAAUUCUGCAUAUGGGGUUGUGUAGUUAAGCAAAUGUUAUUGUUGCCUUUGACCAAAAGUUGUUUGCUGAAAUGUCUUGCUUGGCAUUUUAAUCCUCUGUAGG